rnacentral:rRNA from 1 species
GACGAACGCUGGCGGCGUGCUUAACACAUGCAAGUCGAACGGAAAGGCCCUGCUUUUGUGGGGUGCUCGAGUGGCGAACGGGUGAGUAACACGUGAGUAACCUGCCCUUGACUUUGGGAUAACUUCAGGAAACUGGGGCUAAUACCGGAUAGGAGCUCCUGCUGCAUGGUGGGGGUUGGAAAGUUUCGGCGGUUGGGGAUGGACUCGCGGCUUAUCAGCUUGUUGGUGGGGUAGUGGCUUACCAAGGCUUUGACGGGUAGCCGGCCUGAGAGGGUGACCGGCCACAUUGGGACUGAGAUAGGGCCCAGACUCCUACGGGAGGCAGCAGGGGGGAAUAUUGCACAAUGGGCGGAAGCCUGAUGCAGCAACGCCGCGUGCGGGAUGACGGCCUUCGGGUUGUAACCCGCUUUCGCCGGUGACGAAGCGUGAGUGACGGUAAUGGGUAAAGAAGCACCGGCUAACUACGUG